UACGUAGGGUGCGAGCGUUAAUCGGAAUUACUGGGCGUAAAGCGUGCGCAGGCGGUUCGUUGUGUCUGCUGUGAAAUCCCCGGGCUCAACCUGGGAAUGGCAGUGGAAACUGGCGAGCUUGAGUGUGGCAGAGGGGGGUGGAAUUCCGCGUGUAGCGGUGAAAUGCGCAGAUAUCAGGAAGAACACCAAUGGCGAAGGCAGUUCUCUGGGACGGUACUGACGCUGAGACGCGAAAGCGUGGGGAGCGAACAGG
rnacentral:rRNA from 1 species